UACGGAGGGGGCUAGCGUUAUUCGGAAUUAUUGGGCGUAAAGGGCGCGUAGGCGGCCAGGUAAGUCAAAGGUGAAAUCCCUCGGCUCAACCGAGGAACUGCCUUUGAAACUACCUGGCUCGAGGCCGGGAGGGGGUAGCGGAAUUCCCAGUGUAGCGGUGAAAUGCGUAGAUAUUGGGAGGAACACCGGUGGCGAAGGCGGCUACCUGGACCGGUUCUGACGCUGAGAUACGAGAGCGUGGGGAGCGAAUGGG
rnacentral:misc_RNA from 1 species